rnacentral:lncRNA from 1 species
AUGCUUGGAGAGUGGGAGUAACAACAGUAACCUCCUAGUGAGGCUGCGGCAGGGGGCUGGUGUGCUGGGUUACAACUCCCUCCUCUCUACUGCGGGUUCAGUGCGCUGGCUGGAAGGGACCCCAGGGAGGCUGGGUUUCUUUUUUUUUCUUUUUUUUAGAAUUUCAAUAUUUAUAUUUUAGUUUUUGGCGGACACAACAUCUUUGUUUGUAUGUGGUGCUGAGGAUCGAACCUGGGCCGCACGCAUGCCAGGCGAGCGCGCUACCGCUUGAGCCACAUCCCCAGCCCUGGGAGGCUGGGUUUCAACAGGUGCUUCCAGGAUCACCAGACAGGAGAAAGGGAUGCCAGAGCCAGGGCUCCUCUUAGGACUUUCUGCUAUUUACGUAUCAUUGGUCAAAAUGGUCAUACGGCCACCCUGAUCUCAAAAAGCGAAAGCAUGCAAUACUACCUUGGGCCUAAAUGGGAAGAAAGUAAAUACUUGGUGAACAGCACUAGCCUGGUUAGCAAUUAUAAUUCAAUUUUAAAAGUGGGUAGAGGAACCAAUUAAAAAAAAAAUUUAGGCUGUGGCUGUGGCUCUGCAGUAGCACACUUACCUGGCAUGUGUGAGGCACUGGGUUUGAUUCUCAGCACCACAUAAAAAUAAAUAAAUAAAACAAAGGUCUUUCAACAACUAAAAAAAUUUAAAAAAUAAAAAUGAAAAAUGGAGAAAGAAAUGGAUUUGAAUUUUUAAAAAAUGUUUAUUUUUUAGUUGUACACAAUAGUUUUAUUUUGUUUAUUCAUUUUUAUGUGGUGCUGAGGAUGGAACCCAGGGCCUUGCAUGUGCCAGGUGAGCACUCUACCACUGAGCCACAACCCCAUUCAUGGAUUUGAAUUUUAAGAAUCACAGAAUUGCAAAAUAGGCUCACUGAUCUGGGGAAAUUUCACAGAGGGCAUGGGAAGGCCAUUGGAGAGACAAGUGGAGUGGCGUUGUUAUGUCUGGGUGUCCACUUGGGGUCCAGGUUCUUGGGGAUGUGAAAAAAGAAUUGAGCAAGACACACAGAAGGAAUAAGCCAAGUGCACUUCAUGGAGGGGAAGGCGGAAGUAGCACUCCAUAAGGCAGGUACAGCGGCCCACAGGGGCUCAUGGCCCCAGGUCCAGAAACCCUGGUCUUAUAUGCUCUUUUCCCUGUGAGGACAGAAUUGAAGACCUUAUCCCAUCUGCUCCCACUGGUUACCUUGUGAUGCCUGAUUACAAGUGUCCGGUUUCUGAAUACCCAACCUGUGGCAGGAAGUGUCACAACCAUAGGACUUGUAAACAGGGACAUGACUCACCUCCAGCUUGUACCCUGCCUCUGCCAUCUUGGAGUCCUGCUUCAGUAUCUGGGAUUUAUCUUUACUGAGCCAGAUGGAGGGUCUGGGGUCAGUGGUCGGUAUCUGGGAAAGGAUUUGUCUAGGGAAGGAUCAAUGCUUUGGCCUCUUCCCAGAGACUGUCAUUUCAGACUCGAUGGAUAUCUCCUCCUGGGGACCUGUCUUGUCACUGGGGAAGAUUGUACUAGGAAAGGAUCAAUGUAUUGCCUUCUGCCUCAUUCCCUGUCCCUGGGCCAUACUGGUUGGAUUUUGUCAUUUUCCAUAUCCAACACAUAAAUAAAAG